GCGCUGCUGAGGAGUCCCACAAUAGGACGAAGUGGCCGUCCAGUGC
rnacentral:hammerhead_ribozyme from 1 species